GACUGCCGUUCUAGAGCUGUGACCGUACAAUCGGGCCUUAGACGAGUUUAAUUGUCCCCUUGGUCGGUAUCCAGAAUACAUCAGGUUUUAGUUGGCGAGUAAAUGGCCGGAAACACGGACAGGUCCCCUGAUGUUGAGGGAAGAUACAAUCUGUCCAAUUGCAUAACGCAAACAAUAGUCUCGAAUCAACCUGUCAGCAGUGCAAGACAGGAGGCGAUCAGGCAAAUGAUCUAUGACAAUUUAGAACAAGCAGAAAAGCGAUAUCGGACAUUUAUUGAAGAGCAACUUGCAGCGGACAGAACCGAUGAAGAAAUGAAACGUUGUAAUUCUCAUAUGGAGGAUUUUUUGACACAGUGUUUCCGACAGAGACAUUUGGAGCUGUUUGAAUCAAAAGACACGUCCCUACAUGAUGAUGCCCACGUGCAUGCAUUGCGCAUGCAUUCGGAUAUUCUACAGCAAGAUUUAAGAUUAGAGGGAACUGUCCUCUUAGACAGAUUAAUAGAGAAAGAUGUGUUGUCAGAAGCUGGUAGGCAAAGCAUUUUAUCACGUAAAACAAACCAGCAAAGAAAUGCAGCUUUCAUUCGUUACGUACGCCACUCAUUCAACGCAGAGACAUUUAAGACUGUUUUUCUUCCUGAACUAAAAGUGGAACAUAAUUAUUUGGCGGCAGAACUUGCAAAAGGGUUAGCGCACCCGUCUUUCUCAAUGGCCUCACUCAAACAGUGUCUCAGUUGCAAGGCAAAGGAACAAAUAAACAUUCGAAAGUUUGCAAGUCGCCUAUAUAAGAUGGGUGGAAUAACAGAGUCUGUCCAUUUAGAUUUAAUCUCAGUUGACAUCCCUCACAGAGAUAGAUGGAACCAUUUGAUACACGCAACUCGGAAAAUACCUUCAGUUUUGAUGAAAGCGCUUCAAAGUUACAAUUAUAGACUCUACAAUAAACUUCAAAGGAAACGCCAUCUGCAUUUAGAAUGCACUUGCGAUGUGACCAGCACCAUCGGUCAGUGUUCAACCUCAACAUACACUGAAGGUGGCGAAGGAGACGUAGCCAGAAUGUCUGAUUUGUCAUCAGAAAUCGAUUCACCAUCACAAAUACAUCAGGUGAUGUACACUCACAAACGGCGAUUGGACGUCAGAAAGUCUGAUCAAAAUGAUGGUAUCGUCAUCUCAGGAUCCGGGACAUCAUCAUCAUAUGACCAAAUCAUGGAAUACAUCCGCACCAGGUGAUGAAAGCACCUUUACCACCUGUCAGUAAAGAUAAUCCGUUUACAAAACAAAGACGAGGUUCUGAUGGGGCAUCUCAAAAGAGGUGGAAAGAGCAAAGGCAACCCACAAAGACGAGAGGCAACAAUGAAUUUCUCUGUCAUACCAUUACAAGUGACGUUUUGGAUAUGGAAGGAUCUUUGAGCGCACAAUUUAAAGAAAUGAAAAAACUCAAAUACAAGUUGAUGAAACUGAAGAAGCAGGCAGUGCACAAUGCGGGAGUGAGGAAGCAGUAUCGACAUUACAUUAACUAUUCCAGGAACAAAACCAAGAAUUAAAAGACAUCCAGGCAAGUGACGGAACAAUGCUGACAGAAUCUCCAAAUUGUUAAAGGUCAAAGACAACACAAGCCACAUCAAAUAUAAGACCGUCCGAGAACCUAUGACCCAAGCGCUGGUUCGUUGCUGGUCCGAAGAGGGGACUAAAUUGGACCGGGUGGCAAGGCUCUGUGACGGAUGGUGGCAACACAAGCCACAUCAAAUAUAAGACCGUCCGAGAACCUAUGACCCAAGCGCUGGUUCGUUGCUGGUCCGAAGAGGGGACUAAAUUGGACCGGGUGGCAAGGCUCUGUGACGGAUGGUGGC